GGUGGGUAGUUUGACUGGGGCGGUCUCCUCCUAAAGAGUAACGGAGGAGCACGAAGGUUGGCUAAUCCUGGUCGGACAUCAGGAGGUUAGUGCAAUGGCAUAAGCCAGCUUGACUGCGAGCGUGACGGCGCGAGCAGGUGCGAAAGCAGGUCAUAGUGAUCCGGUGGUUCUGAAUGGAAGGGCCAUCGCUCAACGGAUAAAAGGUACUCCGGGGAUAACAGGCUGAUACCGCCCAAGAGUUCAUAUCGACGGCGGUGUUUGGCACCUCGAUGUCGGCUCAUCACAUCCUGGGGCUGAAGUAGGUCCCAAGGGUAUGGCUGUUCGCCAUUUAAAGUGGUACGCGAGCUGGGUUUAGAACGUCGUGAGACAGUUCGGUCCCUAUCUGCCGUGGGCGCUGGAGAACUGAGGGGGGCUGCUCCUAGUACGAGAGGACCGGAGUGGACGCAUCACUGGUGUUCGGGUUGUCAUGCCAAUGGCACUGCCCGGUAGCUAAAUGCGGAAGAGAUAAGUGCUGAAAGCAUCUAAGCACGAAACUUGCCCCGAGAUGAGUUCUCCCUGAGACUUUAGGUCUCCUGAAGGAACGUUGAAGACGACGA
rnacentral:rRNA from 1 species